GACGAACCGUACGAACGUUAUUCGGAAUUACUGGGCGUAAAGGGCUCGUAGGCGGCCAACUAAGUCGGACGUGAAAUCCCCAGGCUCAACCUGGGAACUGCGUCCGAUACUGGAUGGCUUGAAUCCGGGAGAGGGAUGCAGAAUUCCAGGUGUAGCGGUGAAAUGCGUAGAUAUCUGGAGGAAUACCGGUGGCGAAGGCGGCAUCCUGGACCGGCAUUGACGCUGAGGAGCGAAAGCCAAGGGAGCAAACGGG
rnacentral:rRNA from 1 species